GACGAACGCUGGCGGCGUGCUUAACACAUGCAAGUCGAGCGGUAAGGCCCUUUCGGGGGUACACGAGCGGCGAACGGGUGAGUAACACGUGGGUGACCUGCCUUUAGCUCUGGGAUAAGCCUGGGAAACUGGGUCUAAUACCGGAUACGACUCCGCGGUGCAUGCUGUGGGGUGGAAAGCCUUGUGCGGCUGGAGAUGGGCCCGCGGCCUAUCAGCUUGUUGGUGGGGUGAUGGCCUACCAAGGCGACGACGGGUAGCCGGCCUGAGAGGGCGACCGGCCACACUGGGACUGAGAUACGGCCCAGACUCCUACGGGAGGCAGCAGUGGGGAAUCUUGCGCAAUGGGCGAAAGCCUGACGCAGCGACGCCGCGUGAGGGAUGACGGCCU
rnacentral:rRNA from 1 species